CCAAUAGCGUAUAUUAAAGUUGUUGCAGUUAAAAAGCUCGUAGUUGAAUUUCGGGAUCAAAUUGUCGGUCGUGCCUCGGUACGUACUGGUAUCAUUGGUUCCUCCCUUCUGACGAACCACGAUGUCAUUAAUUUGGUGUCAUGGGAAAUCAGGACUGUUACUUUGAAAAAAUUAGAGUGUUUAAAGCAGGCUCGCGCUUGAAUACAUUAGCAUGGAAUAAUGAAAUAGGACGUUUGAUUCUAUUUUGUUGGUUUCUAGGAUCGACGUAAUGAUUAAUAGGGAUAGUUGGGGGAAUUAGUAUUCAAUGGUCAGAGGUGAAAUUCUUGGAUUUAUUGAAGACUAACUACUGCGAAAGCAUUUGCCAAGGAUGUUUUCAUUAAUCAAGAACGAAAGUUAGGGGAUCGAAGACGAUCAGAUACCGUCGUAGUCUUAACCAUAAACUAUGCCGACUAGGGAUCGGAUGAUGUUAAUUUUUUAAUGACUCAUUCGGCGCCUUACG
rnacentral:rRNA from 1 species